UACGUAGGCAGCAAGCGUUGUUCGGAGUUACUGGGCGUAAAGCGUGCGUAGGUGGUUCGUUAAGUCUGAUGUGAAAGCCCUGGGCUCAACCUGGGAAUGGCAUUGGAAACUGGCGAUCUAGAGUGCGGUAGAGGGUAGUGGAAUUCCCGGUGUAGCAGUGAAAUGCGUAGAGAUCGGGAGGAACAUCUGUGGCGAAGGCGACUGCCUGGACCAGCACUGACACUGAGGCACGAAAGCGUGGGGAGCAAACAGG
rnacentral:rRNA from 1 species